CAGUUUAUCUGAACUAUGUAUGAAGAUAUAACGGUGAUCAUGUUUGCUUUCUUUUCUCAUAGGCCUACCUGGCAAUCCUGGUCAGCCUGGAGCUAAAGGUGAGACUGGUGAGGCUGGAAGAGUGAUCAAUGCAGGUAAGACUACAUGAAGUAUUAAAACACAUUUAACAGUUUACUGUGCAGUGAUGUGAACUUACUGAGAGUUUUAAUUUUUCAGCAGGUUCUAGCUCAGUGGCAAUCCCAGGACCACCUGGGAGGCCUGGUCCUCCUGGCCCAUCUGGAGCUCCAGGACUCUCAGGUCCCGUUGGCCCUGCUGGACUUCCUGGUCAGCUUGGUAAAUCAGCAUUUUUCAUCUGGAGUAAUAUUGUAUAUUAAAAUAUAAAUUAUAUCCAAAUGACCUUCCAUGCAUGCAUCCAUCCACCUUGAUUUUUGUGCAGGUCCUAAAGGUAAUAAGGGAGAUCAAGGAGAACCGGGUAUUGUUGUUAACGCUGGUGAGACUUUGGUUGCAACGCGAGCAGAAAGACAGUACGGUGCUGCACAUGUUGGUGUUAAUGGACCACCUGGACCUCCUGGUCCCCCAGGGCCUCCUGGACAUCCAGGCGAUUCUAGACCAGGUCCACCGGGACCACCUGGUGAAACAGGUGCAGCAGGAUAUGGCAGACCUGGUCCUAAAGGAGACAAGGGAGAACCAGGAAACUUUGUGCCUAAUUCAGGUUCGAUUCCAGCAUAUAUCUAGUAUUAUACGUUGUUCUAAGGGUGUUGUGGUUUUUUAA
rnacentral:lncRNA from 1 species